rnacentral:rRNA from 1 species
GUAGGUGGCAAGCGUUGUCCGGAAUUAUUGGGCGUAAAGCGCGCGCAGGCGGUCCUUUAAGUCUGAUGUGAAAGCCCACGGCUCAACCGUGGAGGGUCAUUGGGAACUGGGGGACUUGAGUACAGAAGAGGAAAGCGGAAUUCCAAGUGUAGCGGUGAAAUGCGUAGAGAUUUGGAGGAACACCAGUGGCGAAGGCGGCUUUCUGGUCUGUAACUGACGCUGAGGCGCGAAAGCGUGGGGAGCAAACAGGGAUUAGAUACCCUGGUAGUCCACGCCGUAAACGAUGAGUGCUAAGUGUUAGGGGGUUUCCCGCCCCCUUAGUGCUGCAGCUAACGCAUUAAGCACUCCGCCUGGGGAGUACGGCCGCAAGGCUG